ACAACUGACAGUUUCAUACAUAUCGGAGAGACUUUGAACAGACAUUAGUUCAUUGAAGAGAGUUUGAUGGGAAAUAUGAUUGUCUGGGGUUUAUUUUUUGUUGUUACUAUUAAUGGAGUUUGGAGUGAGAUCAAACUGGACCAGUCUCCCUCUGAGGUGAAAAGACCUGGGGAGACAGUGAAGAUGUCAUGUGUCAUAUCUGGUUUUGACAUGACAAGCUACUAUAUUCACUGGAUACGACAGAGACCAGGGGAAGCUCUGGAGUGGAUUGGGAGGAUGGAUACAGGUUCAAACUCUGCUAGCUAUGGCAGCUCCUUUCAAAGCCGUUUCAUCAUGACUGAAGAUGUUCCCAGCAGAACUCAGUACCUGGAGGUCCAGAGCCUGACAGCAGCAGAUUCUGCCGUUUACUUCUGUGCUCGACAGACACAGUGACUGGAGACAGUGGAGCAGCUGCAC